AAAAAUAUAUUGUUAAACUUCAUUGUAAUAAUUAUUUGUGAGACAGACUGUUUUGCGCUCUUAUGUGAGGACAGGUGGACCAGUAAGGGAGGCUAACAGGAUGUUUUUAUCAACCACUCAUUACAGUUAUCCUUAUAAUGCAGACAGUCUGAAUGAAAAAUGGCUUCUGGACAUGCCAAAUCUGCUGGACUCAGAGUAUGGAAGCCUAGCAGGUGAACAGGCAGACUUGUUUCUUCGGACGUGG